rnacentral:rRNA from 1 species
GAAGAGAGCUUGCUCUCUGAUUCAGCGGCGGACGGGUUAGUAACGCGUGGGAACAUACCCUUUUCUACGGAAUAGCCUCGGGAAACUGAGAGUAAUACCGUAUACGCCCUUCGGGGGAAAGAUUUAUCGGUGAAGGAUUGGCCCGCGUAAGAUUAGAUAGUUGGUGGGGUAAUGGCCUACCAAGUCUACGAUCUUUAGCUGGUUUGAGAGGAUGAUC